CGGGGGGCGGGGCCGGCGGGGUUUUCUCCCGGGCUGGGCUGACGGCCGCGGCCGGGAACUUCGGGAGCGUGCGGGCGCCAGCGGCCGUUCGAGCGGCAGGCAAGCAAGGUAUUUUGCUGUUAUCCAGUUGUCAUAGUUGAUUUCACUCUACAAAUCUUCAAGAUUCCUGCUGGAGUGAAAGUGUCAGUGGUGAUAAUGACAACUGAAGUUGGUUCAGAGACUGAAGUAAAGAAGGAUUCUGAGCAGCUCGGACCGGACAAAGCCAAGGACAAGCCUGAAGAAACAUCAGAGACUCCAGGAGAUCAAAAGUCCAGGGAAACAUCCUCUGGAGAAGCUCAAGAUUCUUCUGUUCCAGCACCAACCAGCCAAAGUAGUCCAAGUAGCCAGAAGAAGGAAAAAUCUUCAUCCGAAAGCAAGGGUAUUUCUCGUUUCCUUCCCCCUUGGCUUAAGAAACAAAAGUCAUACACCUUGGCAGAGCCCAAAGAUGAGCCCAAGAAGAGGGCCACAGGGGAAGAGCAAGUAAUUGAAGAAAGUGAAAGCCGGGCACUAGAGGGGGUGGCUCAGCCAAGAAAGAGCUUGGAAGAAGCAGCUGAAAACCAGCAGAAUGCUAAAACAGAUGACAAAGAAAAACACUCCGUUAGCAGUGCUGAAAUACAGCCUUCCAAAGAAGAUGGUAAAGAAACAGAAGUAGAGGAAGUUGCAGAGAAAAAGGAAGAAAAUCAAGAAGAAAAAGAAAAAAGGGAGACAAAAGAAGUGCAGACAGCUGAAAUUAAAAUAGAUAACAUUCCUCAGAAGUCUCCAAAAAAAGUCAAAACUGUGCAGUGUAAGGUGAUGCUUCUGGAUGGCACGGAAUACACCUGUGACCUAGAGAAAAGAGCAAGAGGACAAGUGCUGUUUGAUAAAGUAUGUGAACACCUCAAUUUACUGGAAAAGGACUAUUUUGGGCUGUUGUUUUAUGAGAAUUCAGAGCAGAAGAACUGGCUAGAUUCUUCGAAGGAAAUUAAGAGACAAAUUCGAAGUCUACCUUGGAUAUUCACCUUCAAUGUGAAGUUUUAUCCCCCUGAUCCAUCACAGUUGACUGAAGACAUCACUAGGUAUUUCUUGUGCCUACAGCUUCGCCAGGAUAUUGUAUCUGGCCGACUGCCGUGCUCUUUUGUGACUCACGCCCUCCUUGGUUCAUAUACCCUGCAGGCUGAGCUGGGUGAUCAUGACCCAGAGGAGCACAGCAGUGAUUAUAUCAGUGAAUUCCAGUUUGCACCCAAUCAGACUCAAGAAAUGGAAGAGAAAGUGGCUGAACUACACAAAACACACAGGGGUUUGACUCCAGCACAGGCGGAUUCCCAGUUCCUAGAAAAUGCUAAGAGACUCUCCAUGUAUGGAGUGGAUUUACAUCAUGCCAAGGAUUCUGAAGGUGUGGAUAUCAUGCUGGGUGUAUGUGCUAACGGCCUGCUGAUUUACAAGGACAGACUCCGGAUCAACCGCUUCGCUUGGCCAAAAAUUCUGAAGAUUUCCUACAAGCGAAGUAAUUUCUACAUCAAAGUCAGGCCAGCAGAACUGGAACAGUUUGAGAGCACUAUUGGGUUCAAACUGCCAAACCAUCGGGCUGCUAAAAGGUUAUGGAAGGUUUGUGUGGAGCACCAUACUUUCUUCAGACUUCUAUCACCAGAACAGCCUCCAAAAGCGAAGUUUCUGACCUUGGGUUCCAAGUUCCGCUACAGUGGCCGUACGCAGGCGCAGACACGACAGGCCAGCAACCUCAUAGACAGACCAGCUCCGUACUUCGAACGCACUUCCAGCAAACGUGUUUCCAGGAGCCUUGAUGGAGCUCCCAUGGGUAUUUCAGACCAAAGUCUUCUAAGAGACUUCUCUGCUACUGGAGGGCAGGCUGCUGGAGAUAAAAUCAUUGAUCUUGAAGCUGCUGGUCAGGCCAAGUUAAAAGAAGGUGGCAGAGAAGAAGAUGAAAGUCCACUCAAAACUCCACAAUUAGAAUUGACUCAGGAUGGAAAGAAUUUUUUUCUUCAGCUCACUCACGUACACUCAUCAUCACUGCCCAUCCAUUCUGUGUCAUCCCAUCUCACAAACUUGUCACCUGUCCCUGAGAUCGACAUGCUUUCAGAUAUUUCAGAGGAAGAUCCCUUUGAAGAGCCUCUCCUUACCAUUCCAGACAUUUCAGAGUGCAAUUCCAUGGAACAAACAUCAGAUCAUAAUAAAACCAGAACAGCUUCACCAAUUAAUACCUUUGAAUCUAUGAGACCCCUAGCUAGUCGAGGCUCCCCUGCUGUUGAGGGAAGAAUCCAUGCAAAUGACUACAAAAGCACUGAGUUGUGUGUCUCAUUCAGCUUCUUCAGAUGCCUUUCUUUUAGAUUCCGUUCACUGCUUGAUGAGGAUGGCUAUAUUACUUUUCCUAGCCUUCCUGAUGUUUGCAUUUCUUUCCUCCCACCUGGCCUUCAGCACUAUAUUCCUAUUACCUCUCCUUCCUUCAUCCCCUCUUUUCUCCUUGUCUUUGUCCUGCUUCUGUCUGCUUUCCAGUCUAUUCCUUUUUCACUCACAUUUUCCCUUCCUCUCGCUCUGUCCCUCUGCUACCUGGAGCCUAAGGUGACUUCCUUUAGUAGCUCUAAUGGCAAUGACCUGAAUGACAAAGCAGAGGAAGAGGAGGUGUGUAAUUUUGCUGCUUAAAUGUUGACACUUGCACAUUGCAUUUAUGCUUGUUCUCAAGAGGCUUGCUCAGUUUUGCACACUUCCUAGUUUAGAGGUGUGUCUGUGUACAUGCCUGUAAAUACAUAUAUAAAAACACAAAUGCACAUGUGUAUAUCUGUAUCUUUUUAGCAUUUUUCAUUUGUGAAAAAUUGCCGUUGUGGGAUUUUUAGUCAAUAGAUAGCUCAUGGUUUUUCUGCCUAAUUUCCUACAGCAUGCAUAAUCCCAUUGAAUUCCACAGAUACUGAGCUGCAGGUGCACUUGCAUUGUAGUUCAAAAUGUUAAUGAGCACAUAAAACUGAAUACUGAAAGUGCUCUGUGUAACAAUAGAUAUGUUAUUUGAUACUCUUUGCAAGUUCUUUUUGCACUGUAAAUUGGUUUUUAAAUGCCUGUCUCCUGCAUGCAUUGACUGGAAUGCUCAUCUGAAGUUCUGUUUAGAUCUGAAAAAUGAAAUUCCUAAAAGCUGAAUUCAGAAAACUGCAAAUGCAUUAAAAUCAGUGUUUUGAUUUUGGAUGUUUCAGCUCUACAAGGAUGUGUGCAAAGCUGAGUCUGUCCAAGGCACUUUUUCUUUUUUUACAUGCUUUGAUUAAUCUCUAGCCACAGUUGAGACUGAUUUCGUUCAUUAGCUGGGAUUGCAGGUUAUGUCAGACUGUGUCACUGAAAUCUGAGCAUUCUUUGGAAUACAUUGCUGAAGUGUACAGAAGCCUCAGUCACACCAGCAUGUUGCUCUGAUCAUCUGGAGUGACUGACAAACUGCCUCCUUUCCUUUUAUGUCUGCUGCACGUGUGACAGCAAUGCCACUAGUAAAAGGUCACCUAUUUUGAUCCUCAAAGAAAAUAUUAAGCCAAAAAUUACAGAAUCAAAACAGAGGAGGAUCUGUUUAAUGUCACAUUUAACAAAAUUUGCUGAACUAAUGUACAUAUUAAAGACAUGCUAAGAUGACACAAUGCCAUUAUAAUACCAGUCCAAGUAUAAAAUAAUGAAAAACAUGACAUCAAGAUUUUCUCAAUUUUUCCAUAGCCUAAUCCAAUCAAUAAUUUUUAGUGUAGUUACAGAAAAUACAACCCCAGAUAAGUCAGAAAUUAAUAAAAAUGUUAUAUGUACCACAUCAUUCACACAGAAUCCAAAAUGCAACAGUAUGAGCAGUAAAUCCAUCUUCAAAUGUAUGGAUUUGCACAGUGUUGACUUGUAAAUGCAUCUUUUCCUAAGAUGGCCAGUUGAUAUUUGUACUUCUGGAAAGAUUACUGGGAAGUGGCUCACUUUUUAGAGAAUGCCGUUCCGUAAGGCAUUUGGAAUACUUGGAGAUGAGAUAUGAAGAUUAGCUACAGAAAAUUACCAACAGAAUGAAUUGCAGUUUAAGAAUAAAUAUAUUCACUUAACAGGAGAUGUAUGUGUGUGUGUGCAAAUAAUUCAUCCCAAGACAACAACAUUCCUAAAAUUUAAGACAGUUUGUAAAUACAGUGUUUAAGAGUUUGACUUGAACCCUAAACUCUUUUCCCAAAAGAACUCCUGGAUUAGAUUCCAUUUUCCCAUCAAUAUGUUAGAGAAUUUAAACCACUUACCAUAGAAAUUAUGCAUAUCAUUUUUGUUUGUUACUCAUUCUUAAAUUUUCACCUGGGAAACAAUAAAAAGUGCAGCAAGAAAGGGACACAGUGUGAAACUUCCAUUUUUCAUGCCACUUAUGCCAAAAAUUACUUCAGCCAUUCUACAACAAUGUAGGUGCAAGAAGACCCAAGUCGCUUAAUUUCAACAUCUGGGGCCGAAAAAGUAAAGGUGGAAUACGAAGAGGAGGAAGCACAGCAGAAG